ensembl:lncRNA
GAUUAACUGAAUUGAAUUGAAUUGAAUUGAACGGAAUUUAAUUGAAUUGAGAUGAAUUUAAUUGAAUUGAGAUUAAAUUGAAUUGAACUGAAUUGAAUUGUAUUGGAAAUAAAUACACAUAAAGUGACGUCUACAUUUUCACAGCUGGCCUAGCGAACUCCUGAGACGGUCCGAGAAGGCGGCCCACGUCUGUCUCGGAACAACUGACCUCCUCGUCACUUUCCCCUCUGUUACUGCCAUUCUGUGUCCCGCUGCACAGCACAUCUGAGGUUUUUGCACGGUAAUUUUGUCAGAAACGCCUCCGUUUUGCCCUUUUCACAAUUCAGCAUCAUUAAAUGUGCUUUGUGUCCCUCAUGAAUGGAUUUACAAUUGAACUGCCAUAAUAGAACAUACAAUAUAUAUACACACACACACACACACACACACACACACACACACACACACUUUCAGAACCACUUGUCCCAUACAGGGUCGCGGAGCCAACCCGGUAACACAGGGCGUAAGGCCGGAGGGGGAGGGGACACACCCAGGACAGGAUGCCAGUCUGUCGCAAGGCACCCCAAGCGGGACUCGAACCCCAAACCCACCGGAGAGCAGGACCUGGUCCGACCCACUGCGCCACCGCACCCCCUACAUACAAUCGGGGAAGAGUGCUCGGAAAUGGCAGUCCUAAAUAAAGACACUGGCUGAAGAAGUCAUGUCAUGUGUGCUGGAUUCAACCUUGGCAUAAUACCAGCGGAGCGCACACACACACACACACACACACACAAUUUUACUUUAAUGAUUGGACCUCAGGGAAAACUUUGCUUUCACUUCUCAGCCCCCUAGAAAUUAAAUUUUCAGGGCCAUAAAUACUGUUGCACACCGUAAAUAACUGUAAACACCUGUUUACACUUAUUAUUAUGAUUUGCCUGGUUGGCUGAGCCGUGAUAACCAGUUUUAUUCGGUGUGUCCAGCGGUUUCGUCUUCAGAGGCUCAUCACGGGUCACCUCUCGGAAUUUUUUUUUCUUCGGAAGAGGUGUUGUGGGCGGAGCUCCGCGGGUGCGCGCGCGGCUCUCGUCUCGGCUACGGUGUGAACGCGCUCGGUGUGUUUAAAGGGUCGAUCGCGACGGCGCGUCCACGACACACCAUCCGACUGCUCUGCGCAUGGACUGCGUUUUUGUCUUUUUCUUUUUAAAUCUUCUUUUUAUAAUAAUUUAAGCAGCGGCGAAACGGCAGAAGGAGCAGAUUUCGGGAUCCGCGCGUCUUUAGUAUUUAAUAACGUUUAAUCUGCAGAUGAGAACCGCGGGAGACCAGUUGCUUCUGUAAAUAUUAUAUGAAAGUUGAAUGUUGAGACCAUUUCGGACAGUACUCUUAAAGCUGUUUUUUUUUUUUUUUUUAAAGUAAAAAUAUAUAGUGCUACAGGUGCUGUUUGGCAUGUUUUUUACAUGUUUACUGCCAGGUGUUUAGUUAAAUAAUUAAGAAUAAGAUGAUGUAGAGGUGCGUUUACGAACGUGUUUGCGCUCCAACCGAGGCGUUACUGGCAGUUACACAGCGUCCGCGGGAAGACUCGGUGCCACCCGGUGCGAGGAGGUUUUUAUUUUUAUUUUUUUAUUAAUAAAUUAAAAAAAGGAAAAAAAAAAAAGACUGAA